GGCUACAUCACAUUGAAACACUUGUUCUCGUGUGAUCACCAAUGUUAAGCAACAUUGAGCCAGGCCAAUGCCUGGAUAGAUGACCACUUGGGAGUUACAGGUGCUGUAAG